AAGAGUUUUAUUUAAGAUUACUCUCAGUAACCGUUUACAUUUAUUCUCAAAGGAAAUCUCUCAUAUUCAGCAGAAGUUGGCUGACUGAACUGUCACAGUGAGAUAAUGUGGACCAAAUGAUGCUUCUGUGCUACAUGCAUUUCAGUCUUGAGGAGGAAUUAGUUUUUGUAUCCAACAUGAGUGAAACAUGAUGUAUACGAUGGUGACGGCAGCAUCAGUGUCAUUUCCAGAGUGGAAGGUAGAGGAAGUGUAACUGAGAGAAGUGAAAAUACAGAGCUACGAGGAGACGGAGAGAUUCAGGGAGGAGCUGAGCUAUUACUGAACUAUAGAAGAGAGAGGAACUUCCAUAUUCAGCAGAGUUCAAUACACAAACCAGAAACAUUACCUUUAUUCAACAUGCUGUCACUGGACUAUUAUGGACUUUCUCUACUGUUACUAUCCAUUCUAACAGGUGUCAGCUGUGAAGAACUCACUCCAGUCAAGAAUGAAGAGUUCAGUUUAGAAGGCAGCACUGUUACUCUGUCCUGCAAAUACGGCAAAGGUUCUGCCAAUUAUUUCUUCUGGUAUCGACAACAUCCAGGAAAACCACCACAGUUCCUCAUUUCUCAUCUGGAAUCAGGAGAAAUAUUAGCAAAUCCAGUCUCUGGACUGUCUGUUAAAGUGAGUGAGGAUAAAACCCGAAUGGAUCUGCAGAUCUCCUCUGCUGCAGUGACAGACUCUGCUCUGUACUACUGUGCUGUGAGGCCCACAGUGACAGCAAACCCACAGUCUCUGUACAAAAACCUGACAGCUCCUCCAUUACUGAACAGCAGCACCACCAAGUGGACACUGACAACAUGGUUCACUGAAUAAAUGCAAUUGUUUAACAGCAGUUACUUCUGCUGACAUCUUCAUGAAAAAAGAUCCAAUC